rnacentral:rRNA from 1 species
GCGACAGGACGGAAAGACCCCAUGGAGCUUUACUGUAGCUUGACAUUGGGUCUUGGUACUACAUGUACAGGAUAGGUGGGAGGCUUUGAAACCAGGACGCCAGUUUUGGCGGAGCCAUCCUUGGGAUACCACCCUUGUAGUACUGGGACUCUAACCAUAGGCCAUGAAUCUGGUCUUGGGACACUGUCAGGUGGGCAGUUUGACUGGGGCGGUCGCCUCCCAAAAGGUAACGGAGGCGCUCAAAGGUUCUCUCAGUACGGUCGGAAAUCGUACGUAGAGUGUAAAGGCAAAAGAGAGCUUGAUUGCAAGACAUACAGGUCGAGCAAGGAUGAAAAUCGGACUUAGUGAUCCGGUGGUUCUGCGUGGAAGGGCCAUCGCUCAACGGAUAAAAGCUACCCUGGGGAUAACAGGCUUAUCUCCCCCAAGAGUCCACAUCGACGGGGAGGUUUGGCACCUCGAUGUCGGCUCAUCACAUCCUGGGGCUGUAGUAGGUCCCAAGGGUUGGGCUGUUCGCCCAUUAAAGUGGUACGCGAGCUGGGUUCAGAACGUCGUGAGACAGUUCGGUCCCUAUCCGUCGCAGGCGUAGGAAAUUUGAGAAGACCUGUCCUUAGUACGAGAGGACCGGGAUGGACGUACCUCUGGUGUACCAGUUGUUCUGCCAAGGGCAUGGCUGGGUAGCUAUGUACGGAAUGGAUAAGCGCUGAAAGCAUCUAAGCGCGAAGCCAACUUCAAGAUAAGAUUUCCCACCGCAAGGGUAAGACCCCAGAAAGACUAUCUGGUUG